GAGCCUCCAUCUUAGCGCUUAGCUGGGUGCUUACAUUGACCAUGUCUCGCCGGCUACCGCUAUGGGGACUUGGGGCGAAACGCGGAGGAAGUGUGGGACUAAAAAAAUAAAAAAUAAAAUAAAUAGAUGGAAAUGUCUUUCUAAGGAACUAGGUGAAGGCAGGAGGGAGCACGGAGAGGCAGGGCGAGGAAACCUGCCUCUCCUGUUAUCUUAUUGAUUCGCUUAAUCAGGGCUAAUGUGGGUGGAGAUGUUAAAUAGUAACCAAGCUCUUAUGGAAACCAAUCUGCAAGGUGCUGUUGCUGUAGCUAUAGUAACUGCUGCCAAGCUAGAAACUCAAACAUGGCUUUUACUGGACUCUUUUGGGGCUCCUGCUGCCAGCCGGUGUCAAGGCCGGGGCGGCGGAGGCCGGUGCUCCCCCCGGCUGCGGGGAGGUCGGCACCGCAGCGCCGCGGGCACCGCAGGGCUCGCGGCAUCGCCCGGCCGCGGUGGGGGAACAAAGGCGAGCGAGGGUGCAGCCACGUGGCGCCGGCCGGGGGAUGACAGAGCGGGGCUGGGGCAGAGCAGAGCCCGGCCAAGGGGUGAAAUCCCCCGGCUGUGGUUCGGGGUUUGUCCCCUCGGUGCCAAACCGGAGGGGUCGUUGGGGAUGGGGAUGCAGCGGCGGGAUGCAGGGUGGUACCCAGAGCACGGGGCUGGUGCGCGGCGUUUGCAGCUCGCUCCCCAUCUCCCUCUGCUCCCCAAAUCCCGCACCCCCUGUUUCUGAUGGCCUCCUUGCAGGAUGCUUUGUCUGCGCCCACUGAGCAGCGGGGAGAGCUGGCUGCCUUCCUGGGGUUCGUGGGGACCUGCGAUGGCCUGGAGUGACCCGUGGACAUCCGUGCUCCACCCAGGAGGACGUCUGGGACCUCACAGGCACAAGAGGGUGGUGGAGCCGUGGAGCGCUGCCGCAGCCCUAAAACCAGCUCACUUGGUUGGAUCUGAGUCCCGUGAAGCACAUGUUGUUGGAGCAGACCCCGCCGUAGGUGGGCGGGCAGGCUGAGCACGGCCUCCCCACCUUGUAGGGUGCCUCCCCGAUCCAGUUGCCCCUGGGAAGAGAGGAGAGCAGCAUCACCCCUGCGUGGCACCCAGCUCAGCUCGGCGCGGCCGGCUCGCCAUGCGCACUUACUUGAUGGCGUAGUUGCAGACGAGGAGGACGGCGCGGCGCCACGUGCUGCCCCAAACCCGCACGUUGCUGCAGGCGUGGAUGGCGCAGCCCAGCCUGUUGGAGGACGCCCACACCAUCUGUGCCAGGACAGAAAGCGGGUGGUCAGCCCCCAUCAGCUCCAGCUGCCGGGCAGGGACCGAGCCCCGACGGCCCGAAUUUCCUGGGGGAGAUGCCGUGCCCACCCUGGCACCGCUCGGCCACCCGAGGGUGGCUUCUGAAUGUCCCUUUUCUGUGCCCACCUGGUGCCAGGAUGCGCUGCCUUGGUGAGCUGAGUUAAACAAGCAGCGGGGUCUGGGUCGUGUCUGAUUUACCCAAAUGAACCACCAAAGCUCACCCUGAAGCACUGCCGGCGGAGGCUGCAGGGAGGUGAAACUCCUCCCAUGGGGACCAGAACCAGAAGGCUCCUCCUAAAGCCGCCGAGGGCUGAAUUUCUCCCUUAAAAAAUGUGUUUUGCCCAUUUGCAGCCCAGACAGCCCCCGAGACACCCCUGGGGAACCACACCGGGACUGAGGCAGCGCCGCGCUCCCAGACAGCCGCGCAAACAUCGGAGGGGCUCAGCCCCGAGGCGGGGAGGCAGAGGGAGGUUUGGAGGUUUUCCACCUCGUGCUGGCAAAGCCACAGCCGGAGGUGCCGCGGGAUGAAGGGGCUGCAUUCACGGGGCCGGGCAGCGCCAAGGAGCCGCUCUGCCACGGAGAUGAUUCAUGAUCGGCUGGUGCGGGAAGGGGCUGGUUGGUUCUUUUCUGCUCUUCACAGCCUUAGAGGUGUUAGGGGGGUAAUCAGGAGAAAGUGAGGGCAAAGCAGGGAAAAAAGCUCCUGGAGCAAGCUUUGUGAUUCGAACCGGACAGAAGCCGGGAUCUGGUCCCAGAGGAGGAGGAUGCAGAAACGCGCAUGCAGGGACCGCUGUGAGCACCUGCAGGGGUUCCAUCGCCCCCAGCAGAAAUCCAGACCCCCCCAUUCUGUGUGAGCUGGGGGCUCGGGGGGGGUCUCACCUGGGUGUAGUGGCUGCAGACGGAGCCGCUGCACUUGGAGGGGCAGCGGGGGUUGCACUCGCGGGGGUGCGGGAAGGAGUAGUGCUGCUGCUCGCGGUGCCACGACCGCACCAUGUCCACCACGGAGCGGUACCUGCAAAGGGGAGCCUGCGGUGUGGACGGGACGCCCCGCUGCAGGAACCAUUGCUCCCCAGGCCAGAAGCAGUGGCUCGGAAGAUCCGGCCCGCACCAGAGCUCCGAGCGGUGGGAGCCAGCUCCCGGGGGCUCCCUGCGGGGCCCUUACCUGCCCGAGUGGAUGGAGAGGUUCUGCCCCACGUACUUCAUCAGCUGGGGGGGGCCAUGGUCCCACACGCACUGCACGGCCCACGCCUCCGCCGCCCUGGCCAGCCGCUCGUCCCACACCUGGAGAGGGGGAAAAGAAAGGGCAGGUGGGGAUUUGGGCUGCUGGGGGCAGGCAGGUGGGGAAACCUUGUGUUCGCAGAGGGGGAUCUGAAACCCCCAGCAGCUCCUAAAACUUGGCCUGCACGUUGGUCUGGAAAAGAGCUGCGGGAAGGGGAGCACACCGCUCUGGGGACGAGCCUCAGCCAUGCCCAGGAGAGGGAUUUUGGAAGGCAGGGAUUUAGGCCAAGCACGAAGCAGCACAGGAUGCCCCGGGCACAUCUGACCUGCUGUGUGCUGAGCCUGCUGCUCCCCCAGCAGCAUCCAGGGACCUCCUGGCUGCUCCCACCUCCAUCCCAGCUCUGCUCUCCCAUCCUAGAGCCUUUAGGAACCAGCUCAGGAGCAGCGCACAGCACCACCUGCUCCCAGGUGGGAUGGAGACACCCGAGGCGCAUCCCCCUCUGCAUGUGUAGGAGCUUUCUGCUCCAGAAGGUACCAGAAAGGCCCUCCCUGGUCAGUGCUAGAGGAAGGAUGGGCACGUCAGGGUGCUCCAUGCUGUGAGGAGCUGGUCCAGCCCUGACCAGGUGGCUGAGGGCACUGAAGUGGGGCCAGCAGCUUUAUUCCCUCCCGCAGCAUCCCUGUGGGGCACCUGCAGACACGAGCGGGGUUGGGCAGCCUCCCUGCAUUGCUGGGGCUGCAGGAAAACCCAGCCUGCAGCAGGAGGAAUGGCCCCAGGGGCAGGGAAAUCAGGGACCCACAUCUGCUCUGUCAUGGGAUGCGCUGGGUCGCAUCCUGCACCCGCUCUGCCUCUCCUGGGGGAAAGCUCUGGGUGUGUGGGGGUCCGUCCUGCACCAGGGGUGCAAAACAUCCCCGGGACGAGCACUGAGCCGCAAAUCCCCAGCAGCCCCCUGCCCCGUGGCACGAGCGAUGCGCACUCACCAUGUACUCCAUGUUGGCGGCCGGGGGGGACACCUGCGCCCGCACCUGGUUGUGGUAGUCCAGGAUGGCGCUCAUGUCGCGGGGCGCCAGGUACCGGCGGCGGCGGCCGCGGGGCACCCCGGUGCCAGGAGCCGGCCCCGGCCCCGCGCUGCUGGGAGGGGACAGGAGCUCGGUGGCGUUGGGCAGCGCGAAGGAGCCGGACUCGUGCGCCAGCCAGCAGAGCACGCCGGUGAAGCAGAGGUGCAAGCGCAGCCGCGGCAUCGCAGCCCUGCCAGCUGGAACGCGGAGCAGAGCCCGAGUCAGGCUGCAAGAGAAAACACCGCCCGCACCGCUGCGCGCUGCCGUGCAAGCCCCCUGUCCCCAGAUAAGGUGGAAAUGGGUUUUCUUUUGUCCUUCCCGAAAUCAGUUUUGGAUUACCCCGCUGAUCACCCGCUGUUCCCGCGCGCUCGUCCCAGUAACUUCACCAGGAGCAGCAGGGAGAUGUCUUGCUUUUCUUGGUGUUUCUUUUAAGAAAAAAGCAGUACAGACUCUGCCCCAGUUUUUUCGGUUAUCCCACCUACCUGCCAGACAGGGCUAAUUAGGAGCAUGCAGAGCUACUCGCCCCGUCACUUCACAGGCGCUUGGCACGUAGAGAAAGUCCCGCGAACAAACAGAAAUCUCACACAGGUAAAGAAACACCCGGCAACUUUUAAAAGGAUCGGAGAGGAAUCCUAACGAGUCCUUAUCUUGGGGAGGGAGGGGGAGAAAAAUAAACCACCGCAAAACCAGAAUUAAAAAAAAAAA